ensembl:lncRNA
UGUCCGAGGCCGAGGCGGUGCCUGAUGCCGAGGCGGUGCCCGAGGCGGUGCCUGAUGCGGUGGCCGAGGCGGUUCCCGAUGCAAUGUCCGAUGCCGAGGCGGUGCCCGAUGCCGAGGCGGUGCCCGAGGCGAUGGCCGAGGCGGUGGUCGAGGCAGAGGCGGUUCCCGAUGCGAUGCCCGAGGCCGAGGCGGUGGCCGAGGCAGAGGCGGUGCCCGAUGCGGUGCCAGAGACGGUGCCAGAGACGGUUCCCGAUGUAAUGCCCGAGACCGAGGCUGUUCCGGAGGUCGAGGCGGUGCCCGAUGUUGUUCCCGAUGCCGAGGCGGUGGCCGAUGCCGUUCCGCAGGUCGAGGCGGUGGCCGAUGCCGUUCCGCAGGUCGAGGCGGUGGCCGAUGCCGUUCCGCAGGUCGAGGCGGUGGCCGAUGCCGUUCCGCAGGUCG